UACGGAGGGUGCAAGCGUUAUCCGGAUUCACUGGGUUUAAAGGGUGCGUAGGUGGGCUGGUAAGUCCGUGGUGAAAUCUCCGAGCUUAACUCGGAAACUGCCGUUGAUACUAUCUGUCUUGAAUAUCAUGGAGGUAAGCAGAAUAUGUCAUGUAGCGGUGAAAUGCUUAGAUAUGACAUAGAAUACCGAUAGCGAAGGCAGCUUACUACAUGUUAAUUGACGCUGAGGCACGAAAGCGUGGGGAGCAAACAGG
rnacentral:rRNA from 1 species